AUAAAAAAUGUUAGAGAUAUUUUGUUAGAUGGAAUAUUUUAGAUGCUUUUAGGUAUAGAAGAUAUAGUACGUAUAUAUCCUCAAUUUCACACACUCAAUCAAACACACGCGAAGAAGAACAACAAAGGAAGAAUGAAGAACAUGAAAACGAUGAAGGAGUCGAACAACACGAUGAAGAAUCCGGCGAAAACGAGGAACAACACACGACGAAAUCGAAGAACAGCACGAAGAAUAAUCUGGCGAAAACGAAGUAUGAAGAAGCGAACAAGAAGAACGAAUCUGAGGGGUCUGUGUUCGAACCAAUAAUUUCUCGUUUUCGCAGUUCCGGUAUAGGUGAAGAGAAUUAUGAGAUAUGUGCAAGGUACAAUGGAUUAUGGAGUGCUGUUUCCAAACAAUGUCAACAAUGCAGUGAAUAGAUUGGGAGGAUUUUCAGAAUCUGACUGGUAUGGAGAUCAUGUGGACAAAAGAAGCACUACAGGUUACAUAUUCAAAUUCUUAAAUGCUCCAAUUCCAUGGUGUUCCAAGAAGCAGCCAGUGAUUUCCCUCUCAUCUUGUGAGGCAGAGUACAUUUCUUGUGCUUUUGCUGCUUGUCAAGGCAGCAAAACUGAACUUAGUGAACCAAUUCAACUCCUUGUUGACAACAAGUCUGCUAAGAAAAGGGAGAAUUGUGCUAUCUCACUGCCCUAAUGUAGAACAAGAAGCUGACAUAUUGACAAAAGGACUGAGGAGCAAGAUUGGAGUCAUGUCCUUAGAGCAUUUGAAUUAAGGGGGCAUGUUAUGAAUGUAAUUCAAAUGCCUUGUGCUAGUUAGUUAGUUAGAUUACAGUUAGUUACUAUAGUUAGUUAGCUUGUUAUAACUGCUUACUAUAGUUAGUUUUAGUCUACUGUAGUUACUUGUGAUUCAAGUAAUCACACUAUAUAAGCUUGUACAAACAGAAUUUUUAUUAAUGCAAUUACUUUACCUUUCUCUUA